rnacentral:rRNA from 1 species
UUUCAACAACGGAUCUCUUGGUUCUGGCAUCGAUGAAGAACGCAGCGAAAUGCGAUACGUAGUGUGAAUUGCAGAAUUCAGUGAAUCAUCGAAUCUUUGAACGCACAUUGCGCCCUUUGGUAUUCCAAAGGGCAUGCCUGUUCGAGCGUCAUUUGUACC